AAUGCACCGCGAGAGACGCUUUAUUAAACUGCGAUCUACAUCCGGUCUGUCUCUCGGUCUGAACCAUGCGGGACAGCAGAAGAAAUGAUGGACUGUCUGACUCUAGGUUCCGGUUCCCCACCUGAACAUCAUGGAGGCUCAUCAGCCAUGACGUAAAGCCCCCUGGACCUCCAUGUGGACCUCCAGGCGAAGCCUCUGCGGCCGCUCGCUGUGACGCCGACGAUCCUGAUGAAGACGUGAUGAAGAUCCAGGAGGAGGAGGAGAUCCAGCAGCAGGAGGAGGAGAUCCAGCAGCAUCAGCAG